rnacentral:piRNA from 1 species
UCCUGGGCUGGGCCCGCGGUGUCUCGUC